GAUGAAGAACGCAGCGAAAUGCGAUAAGUAAUGUGAAUUGCAGAAUUCAGUGAAUCAUCGAAUCUUUGAACGCACCUUGCGCCCUUUGGACAUUCCGAAGGGCAUGCCUGUUUGAGUAUCAUGAACACCUCAACUCUCACGGCUUGUCCGUGAUGAGCUUGGACUUUGGGGGUCUUGCCGGCCUGUGGUCGGCUCCUCUCAAAUGGAUCAGCUUGCCAGUGUUUGGUGGCAUCACAGGUGUGAUAACUAUCUGCGCUUGUGGUUUUCCAUCAGAUAACCUUCAGUGAUAUGGAGGUUCGCUGGAGCUCACAAAUGUCUCUCCUUAGUGAGGACAGCUCUUUGAACGUUUGAUCUCAAAUCAGGUAGGACUACCCGCUGAACUUAAGCAUAUCAAUAACGGAGGA
rnacentral:misc_RNA from 1 species